GCAUGCAUCCCAUCGGGCCGGGGUCACCUGUGGCCCGCUAGCCCUGCGCCCCCUCCGGGGCAGAGACCGCGUCUGCGUCUGCGCCGCUCCCGGCUCCCUGGCCCGUCGCUGGCGCGGCCCCUGGUCCCGCUCUCCGCAGAGCACCGUGGUGCCCAGCGGGGACUGCCGGAGUUUGAAGCCCGCUCUGCCUCUCGCUCGCUGUGUGCCCAAAGUGCCCCUUAUUUUGGUAAGUUCUGGGGACACAUACGGACAUAUUAGUAACUCACCCUGGAGCAGAACCCAGCCUCUCUGACUUUUCCUACCGGCAUCGAAUUUUCCUGGGCAGAAAGGAAGGAAUGUGAGAUGAAAGAUACGGGUUGUAUAGACCUCAUUGUCCUCAGGAUUAGAGUCCAGAUUCCAAUCAUAAUUUGCAAGUCUCUUCAAGACCCGGCCCUGCUAAAUGAGACGUCGGUCAGAGGGUACAAACUUGCAUUUAUGAGUCCUUUUCUAUGGCUCAAGUUCAGGAGUCCAGCCUGUCCCCCUAGUCACAUCAGAGACAAAGAGAGGGAGAAAGAGAAUGAAGACAUUGUCUGGAUGCUCGGAUACUUCUGGAAAAGUCAGCUCUGGCACGGGCUGAGGCGUAACUCCAGGGUUCAGAAAGCCCUGCGGUUAAUUUAGCCCAAAUUCUGAGCUGAGUGUGCCUAGCGACUCCCCAAAGAUGACCAUGGCAUCAGAAUCUUUCUAACCCUAGCCUUGGGCAAACACCACCACCAAAGAGUGGCCAGAGCCGAGCUUUGGCUGGACAUGGAACAGAACUGGGAAGAAAACAAGUACAUCGGGGUAGAUAACAAGUUGUUCACAGUGAGCAAGGCCCCAGUGGCCUCCUUAUAAAUCUCAGUCCUGAGAAAGUGUGGUUAGAGCUGAAAGCCCCGACAUGUCACGCGCUGCUAUUCCCGUGGAAAUACCAACCAGACAGCGCAUGCACCCGGAGACGGGACGAGGGCAACACACUCUGGAUACAAAACCUUCAACCAACCACCAAACUUUCUUUAAAGGGAGACGUGUUUGGCACUCUGUUGGGCACAGGGACUACAAAUAGGAGUAAAAAUGCUACCAUCUGUGCUGAUAUCAUCCACGCUCGCACAUGCAUCGAUCGUCUGGGGAGGGCAACAGCAGUGGGAGAGAGUCUAAGGGGUCACCGCAAACCCCUCCUGCCUUGUGAAUUCGCUCUCAGAAGCACACGUUACCUAUGCAGACAAUAAAUGAGGGGCACCCGGCCGGCUCAGUUGGAAGAGCGUGUGACUCUUGA